UCUUCUCUCCCGUUUCUUGGCGCGAAAAACGAUUCGAGAUUUGGAAGAUCACGAAGAAUUUCGCGUUUCCGCUGCAUUCUUCGUUCCGCCCUUUUCAUUCCCAUCGUCCUUGCAGAGGAAUUCAACGAUCACAACCGUCAUCUGUAGAUUGAGGGAUAGAGGGAUGGCGUGGUCGAACCGCUAUUGUUAUUCUUCCCCUCGUUCAUUCCACAGCGAGAUCAGCGGCAGACAGAUCAAUGGCUUCAGAGUGCGGAAGAGGCCGCAUGUGCAGGGGGGAGAAUCGGAUUCUGCUGGUAGAGGUGAACGAUUGUUGGUAAUCGGGAACGAGCAUGUGCCCAGCCAGCCCCUUGGCCUAUCGUUUGCGCAGGAUUUUGUAUUAUGGGGAUGAAAACCACCACAAUUCGUGACAUAUCGCCCCCUUAAUCGUUUAAGACUUGGAGAAGCGGGCACCUCCUUGCUGUGGCCGAUCAAGAUGGAUUCAUUGGUUUGCAUGAUACCGUCCCCCUCCUUCAUCCCCCAUAACCAGUGAACAACCAGGAGGAUUCUGUGCUCAUGACAGGUUCAGGAGAUCAAACGAUAAGGGCAUGGGAUGUCGAGACAAGUCAACUUUUUGAUGUAAUGUGGGGCCAUUCUGGCAGCAUAAAGACGUUGUGCCCGCACCCACUGAAUCCUGAGAUGGAUGCAUUACACUUUGGGACAGACGUUGUAACUCAAUUUCGAGAAAAGCUCUGGGCAAACCCUGUUUGAUGCCAAAUUGCAGUGAUACACAAUGCGCAUCCUCCUAAAGACUACCACAUAAGGC